UUUUUUUUUCCACACGCCACCUUCCACUUGACAAGUCUGGUCUUCAAAGACAUUUGUACUAAAGUUAAGUUUUGUUUUCAGCUGUUUGCACUUUAAUGAAAGUGUCUGCUGAAGCAGAGUGUGCCAAAUUGAGUCUCCACUAAAGUCAAAGGUGGUGUAUUUUAGUUUCUCUAGAACAGACGACCAAGAAAUCAUUUUCUGGUGCCUGGGUUUUGUUAUAGUCCCUGGAGCUUCUUUGGAUUUAAAGUUAAACUUGAACGUUUGGAUUGAAAGUGACAGCUGUGGUGUUGGUUUGCAGAUCUGCUCAGAGAUUUCAAUAGUCUUAGAAAAGAAAGAGAAAAAAAAAGCCAUUUUUAACUGUUUGUUCCGAGUGAAGUUGAACAUGCGGAAAGAAGAGCAUAAUUGUUUUUUUGUUUUUAUUUUUUCUUCUCUGAUUUAUGUUUUUCACAAACAUCGGACUUCCACAGCAGAGGUCACUUUUUCAAACACUUGACACCUCAAGCACAAGUUUUGACUCUGAAGUCACGUCGAGUUCCCCGAAGCACAGUGACGUUUAAACGUCCCGGAAAUCUGUCCCUCCUGAGAGUGCAACAGUUUUAUCGUUAGCGAUGGGUGUCACUUUUAGGCGGACCCCGACACUGCCCUCCUGAAACUGAGCAUAGAAAUGGUACUGGGAACAAUCAGCGUUCAACGCAGGGUCCACAUGCAACAGUUCAAAUGUUUCACCUUGCCUUUGUGGAACUACUCACGCCGUCCUACGAGCUACAUGGAUGCAAAUCUUCUGAGAAGUGUAAAAAACGGAGGAACUGAGACGUUCCCCUCACUGAUUAAAAGCAACUUCCUGCAGAGCAGACAAGAUAACAGCCUCAGGUUUAUGUAUUUAACCCUGUGGUCCAGUGUAGCCUCCUGCCCUGUUCUGGCUCCGUCUUUGCCCAUUUGUUGUUGUGCAGUUUUGCACAUGUCGUAGACCAGGGGGACAAACUCCCACCGGGAUUCAUCUGUCUAAUGGAGUACAGUCUUCACUCAGAUCAAAGUCGUGCCAUAUUAAUGAUGAUGUUGAUAUUUUAAAGGAUGGUACAAAUACUGCCAGCAAUUAAAUGUAAAGAGAACAUAGACUGUAUAAAGAAAUUGACUUUUGGUUCCGUUAGGUGGUCUGGUUCCCAAGCUGUUUUUAUUUUGACAUUUCAACAUCUAUCAAUCAAACGUGAUACUCCCUGGUGUCCCUACUUUUAGAAAAACGAAAUUUCCAAUUUGCUUUUAUUAAAAACGUAUCUUUACUCUCAACCAGGUGGCUAACAGUAUUUUUUUGGUUUUCACUUUUGAAACCAGAAGGCUGCGUCUGUCCCUUAUUAACGGUCUAUGAAGUAAAGCCACGGCAUUGACCUCCUGCUCCUGCUCCUCCUCCUACAGCUAUGUGCCAUCGUCUCCAGUGUCCAGUGCCUUGAUGUUGUUCACUGUUUGGUUCUCUGUUUCUUUUAUACCAAAUACUUUCGGGUGGAAAAAAAUCCUGCUGUAUUAUUCUGAUCGUGUUUAGGAAGCCGUUCACUAAAAAUACCGGAGUACGAGUCGGUGGUGACACAGCAGAGGUUAUUUGUCCAGGUUUUCACUCAUGUUUUUGUCCUGAAAUACAGAGUAAUAGAGAAGAAAAGAAAGCACAAAUAAAAUAGAAAAAACUAAAUGGAAAUCAGGGUUAUUGUAAUUUUAAAAAAAUUCAGGUAUUUUCUAAGAUUUACAGAUGCUGAUUUUUUUUGUGUCGUAAUUGGUGCGGCCCUAUCGGUGGAAAUGGCUUGUAAUUGGAAGGAUGCUAGUUUGAAUCCCGGCUCUGGCAGGACUGUGCCGUAGUUCUUUUUUUUUUUUACUGACAGUUAAUCAAACUUGGUCUCUGCAGCGUAACAACUGGAUUUCAAUUCUGGAAAACCUUGACAAACAAAACCAAACGUGUGUCACAUUGAAAUGACUUAGUUUUUAAAAUAUUUUUUACUCUCCUGUCGUAUGUUUAGUGAACAGCGUCCUUUUGAAUCUCCAGUGUUUGUGGAAUUUGGACACAGGUAUGUUUAUGAAUCUGAUCCUUUGUCCUCUAAUGUCCUUUAAAAAUAACCAAUAUUAAUAAUACGUCUAAGAUCUAAAAGACUUGACGUUGACAGGUGUAAACCAUGUGACCCUGGCUUUUUUUUUUUAGAAUUUUAAAUAUUUUUAUCAGAGAAAAAAAAAUUUCUUAGUGCUUUUGAAAAUUGUCAAGAAUGAAAAAAUAUUAACGAGCCUUAUCCAUGUAUGUGUGUGUGUAUGUGUGUGUGUGUGUAAGAAAAGCUGAGGUACUUGUGUACUUUGUGUAUUUUUUCCACAUUGAACAUUGUUAGGACAUGAAAUGUUUUUCAAUUUUAAUAAACUUGAACUAAACCCACAGUUAAGAAUAUUUCGACCUGGUGUCUCAGAACUGAUGAAGACGCACCAUUUACGACACGUGUUUCUCUUUGAUGAUAUUGACUGUUAUUGAUUAACUAUUAAUUGAUUACUGUUGUGAAUUGAAACGCAUAAACCAUGGGGUUUUUCAAGUCCUGACAAUCGUGACAUUGGCUGAUGAAUUAUGCAUCAGUUAGCGAUGCAGUAGAACGUACACACACAUAAUUCAGCUUCACGUUGUUUUACAGAAAUGUAAGAUAAUAAUAAAAUGGUUUGAAGUCACA